UCAUAAAACAGGGGUCCCGCAUGGGAAUAUUUGUUAAAGAUUUAUCGGUUGCGGAUGGGCAUGCGUACCAUUAGGUAGUUGGUGAGGUAACGGCUCACCAAGCCAUCGAUGGUUAGGGGUUCUGAGAGGAAGGUCCCCCACACUGGUACUGAGACACGGACCAGACUCCUACGGGAGGCAGCAGUGAGGAAUAUUGGUCAAUGGGCGAGAGCCUGAACCAGCCAAGUCGCGUGAAGGAUGACUGCCCUAUGGGUUGUAAACUUCUUUUACAGGGGAAUAAAAUGAGAUACGUGUAUUUUAUUGCAUGUACCUUGUGAAUAAGCAUCGGCUAACUCCGUGCCAGCAGCCGCGGUAAUACGGAGGAUGCGAGCGUUAUCCGGAUUUAUUGGGUUUAAAGGGUGCGUAGGUGGGCUGUUAAGUCCGCGGUGAAAGUUUGUCGCUUAACGAUAAAAUUGCCGUUGAAACUGGUAGUCUUGAGUAUAGAUGAAGUAGGCGGAAUGCGUGGUGUAGCGGUGAAAUGCAUAGAGAUCACGCAGAACUCCGAUUGCGAAGGCAGCUUAC
rnacentral:rRNA from 1 species